UGGAAGUGUGAUGGAGCUAGCAGGACAUAAAACAGAAGAGAGAGAGAGAGAGAUGGCUGACAGCAAGUAUGCCGCUGCAAAUAGUUCUAAAAUGCGUUUGCAAAAUGCAGAAGCCUUCAGCACCAUCCAACAAUUCAGACACCCUUUUUAUUUCUUCUCUGCAGGACGCCUCCAUCCAGACUAUUCGCAAAAACACGGAAAAGUAAAGAUGCUGCUGUUUCACCUUCCGUUGUUCCUGUCUGUCCAAGACUGUGAUGCUCCAGGAGAUCUGCCCUGUGGAAGGGGAACUGAGAUUUAGACUAUUGGUCAGAUGAAGUCAACCGAUUCCUGUCUUGCCAGCUGGGUCUCCCUUGCUUCCUCCAGGAGAGAGGGGUUCAGAGAGCCAGCAGGAACUGAGAAGCAUGAUCCACAAAGAAGGAAAAGUAACAAAGAGCUUGAAGACUUUCAUGGCUCCCAGGCCCUGGAUGGAGGCAGGCGGCCUCAGACAGGCAGAACCAAGGAGGUGCCCGUGACUGCACAGCCCAGACUUGUCUUGGAAAAGAUGGAGAAGAGCCAGUAAACUUGGCUUCCUCGCUUCUGCUCACCCCCAUCAGCAGAGACAAAUAAUGACUCCUGAAACAUUUCAGAAUCAAAAAGUUAAAACGAUGUUUCAGUGAUGCUACAUCUUGCCAGACGCGGGCUAAUGGUUUGAAGAUAUUGGCCUAGCAAGAUGGCAACGAGCUUAAAAAAUAGGAUUCCUAAGAAGUUGCUUUUCUCAGACAUCUCAAACCCCCAAACGAGAGAAGAUACUGAGGCCUGUUGCCACAAACCCGUAGAUCCGAACUUGUGGUGAUAGUCCGCACAAGCUUGUGUCUAUAGGUAUGUGUCUGUUAGGCAAUCUCACAGACCGCGGGUUUUGCCUGUAUGCCUACCCAAUCCCCCUUCCCAUCCCUUUCAUGUCCCGUCUUCCCCUUAGAGUCCUUUAAGAGUGGUAGAAAUGGAAGAAAGGGCUGGUACGG